UCUUACAGGGGAGCAGCUAAUGAGGUGACUCCUCUAUACUGUGUAAUACCUGCAGCUUUUAAAGAGAAUGGGCAUGUGGGCAGGUAGGGAUGCUUGGCAUCCAGCAGGGGCCCAAUAAGUAAUUGUUGAUAUUUGAGUGAUUACAUAAUGGGCUCUCAGAAGAUGGUCUUUUCAAGAGAGGGUUCCUAGCGUAAAAGAAAGUUGAAACUCAGUGAUGAAAAUAAUUAUUGACGUGAAAAGAUGUUCACAAUAUGGGCUACAAAAUAUUAUGCCAACUAUGGUCCCACUAAAAACACUAUGCACAGAAAAGUAUCCCACAAGAAUAUUCUCUGAAUAGUGGAAUUAAAUGUUUGUACCCUCAACAUCUUCUGUAUUUUAAAAUAUUUUCCAAAGAACAGGUACAAUUUUCAAGUUAAUUCAAAGACCUGAAUCUGGUACUCAAUCCGGUAGUUCCCCAGACAAUUAAACAUAAGAGUUACCUGGGGCGCCUGGGUGGCUCAGUCGGUUAAACGUCCGACUUCGGCUCAGGGCAUGAUCUCACGGUCCGUGAGUUCGAGCCCCGCGUCGGGCUCUGUGCUGACAGCUCAGAGCCUGGAGCCCGUUUCAGAUUCUGUGUCUCCCUCUCUCUCUGACCCUCCCCUGUUCAUGCUCUGUCUCUCUCUGUCUCAAAAAUAAAUAAAUGUUAAAAAAAAAUUAAAAAAAAAACACAUAAGAGGGCGCCUGGGUGGCGCAGUCGGUUAAGCGUCCGAUUUCAGCCAGGUCACGAUCUCGCGGUCCGUGAGUUCGAGCCCCGCGUCAGGCUCUGGGCUGAUGGCUCAGAGCCUGGAGCCUGUUUCCGAUUCUGUGUCGCCCUCUCUCUCUGCCCCUCCCCCGUUCAUGCUCUGUCUCUCUCUGUCCCAAAAAUAAAUAAACGUUGAAAAAAAAAAAAAAA